ACUCUUCUACAGAAACAACAUGGCGAAAGGUCUUCUGAAAAUGAAACUAUGACGAUAUAUCCAGACUCCCUCGAGCAGAGAUGACCUCUUGGGAUGUUUUGGUUGUCUCUGUCCAUGCAUUGCCAAAGAGAUGAAGAAGGCGACAGAAAAACCAGGCGAAUCAAAACCGGAUGUUGACAAAGCGAAACGUGUUUACAGGGCUGCAUUAGAUGCAAUAAAAAAGCUUGAUGAGAUAUUGAAGCAGAAGAAAGCAUAUAGAGAUGUAUUCUUGCAGGAUGCUGUGGGUCUCAGAAAUAAACUGAAAGAAUACUGUGAGCGCUUGAUGUUCUAUAACCCAGUGGAUUAUGGGAGAAAAGCAGAGGAAGUACUGUGGAGGAAAGUGUUUUAUGAUCCAAUCCAGCUGGUCAAGAAAAAUAGAAGGCACCUGAGGUCGGGAAGCUCGUUAGAGGCCGCCUUCCGCACUCACCUGUCGGCCGCCACCGGCUACUACCACCACCUGAUCCCUGACACAAGCUGUCUGUGUGAUAGUCUACACCUAGUCAAGCAGCUCACUCAGAGUGGGAAAGGCAUCCUGAUUAUUCCUAUAUCUGUGAUUGACACACUAGAUUUCCUGAAGAAAGAGUCGAUGGGUGCUCGGGAAGCCAUCCGGUGGCUGGAAGCAGAGUUCAGGAGAGGAAACCGGUACAUACGAGCUCAAAAAAGCAGUGAAAAGGUGCCUGAUCACAUGCCGAAAAACCUGAAGAAAAAUAAUCGGGAUCUGUGGAGUAUGUAUGAGAUCUUCUCCUGUGCGCGGUACUUGGCCCAGCAAGGGGAGAACAUCAGCUCUGGUCACAUGGUGGCCGUCUUGACCAGCAAGGACCUGGGACGAACCUCAGCCCCGCCCACAUUUCAAAAGUUGCUGGCAAACUGCCAUCAAGAUGGCAUCAGUAUGGAGAAGAUCUCGUCUUUUGCCAACAAGUGGUUAGACACUCUGAAGAGUAAAGGCUGAAUUCAGAAGCAAGGAACAAGGCAGAAACAGCCAGGAUUCAGAUUCAGAACGGAAAACAAAUUCCCUGUGAAUGAAUAAUAUUCAACUUGUGGAAAGGAUAAAGAAAAAGAAAAUACACCCAAUAUUCUUCAGAGUUGAGUGAAUUAAAGUGUGUCUGCUGCAUAUUGGUAGCGUGAGUGAAUAAGAAUUCCUCGUUGAAGGUUUUUUUUGUUUUUUUUUAAUAUAUAAUUAAAGGUAAUUCAAGUUUGCUUUAGCACAGAUUCACAAUUAAUUAUGCCGUGAACAGACCAGUACAGACAACAAUGCUGUGAUAACCAGAAUGGUGGACGCCACCAUUCGUCAUAGCUAUGGCUUGUGGUGUUUAAACGAGCUGAGUGUCAAACAACUUUAAAAUAUUUAGGCAAUUAUUGUGUAUUGUAUAUAUUUGUAUACAGUCAUUAUAGUAUCUAUUCUAGUAGAUCAUAUCAGAAACCAAUUCUCCAUUUGCUCCUUUUCUCUUUCUCUCCCUCUAUCUCAUUUCUAAAAAAAAAGAUUUAAGGAAAAGUGCAGCAAUUGUCAAUAUAAAUUAUAAACUGUGUAAAAAGGUUCAUAGAAACAUUUUACUGGUAAAUGACUUUUUGGCACCAUCUUUUUUUUUAUUUUGUGUAGCAUUUCAUUGCUUAAAAGUAACUGCUUUACUUUGUAAGGGGAAAUGAAACAAACAACUUUAUAUGCAAUCCAAUUUAUAUUCACUGUAAAGUGAAAUGGUGUUUGCACACACUGUAUCAUUUUACCAGCUGAAUGGUGGAAAAGGUUCAAUUUAAAAAUCAAAUAUUGCUCUGAAAUUGUUAAAACUAGGAAUAAAUGUGGGAGAAUUUUCAUUUUCAAUAAAAGUGAUAGUGGUUCU
rnacentral:misc_RNA from 1 species